ensembl:lncRNA
GGAAAAUUCAUCAACACCUUCUGACCAAUCAGAUCUCAGAAUUCAGCAGUGUUUUGUAAUUAACACUUUUAUUGAUUCACAAGUUAACACAAAUAGACAAACAACAUAUAUAAUGAAUCAAGAAUUCAGCAGUGUUUUGUGUCAGGCUGCAUCAUAUCCCCAAGGUAAAAUACCACAGCACAGCUGAAUUCUCAAAGUUUUAUAUACAAAAAGAUGAUUAUUUAAUUUGUAUGGGAAGAGUCUCCAGUGUCAGUCCUUUGUAACAGUCUGUAGGUUGAAUGUCAUGUUAUGAUUUAUUUAACACUGGAAUGUCUGGCCCGAACAGAGGUCAGUAAGCAUGAACUUGAAGAAUACUGGUAAUUAAAUUACUGACCUAUGACCUAGGGCCUUUUCUUUGUAUUUAUAUUGCUGAGUUAGCAGGACUGGGUUGCUGACCCUGGAUUUGUCUGUUCUUUGGGGUGAUAACAGGAACAUCACAUCACCCCACCACAUCGUUGUUUAUUUUCAUCACGUCCCAAAGUAUUUUAUUCCUCUUAUGGGCAGUGCAAAUAACUUUUUAUUUAUUAAAGAACAUUACACCCAUUUAUUUUAAAUAAAUGCUAAAUAAACAUCUCUAAAGAAGUGUUAUAGAUUUUUGUAGUAUCAUGUACUGUAUGCCACGAUUAGCUGAAUACGGUGAAAGAUCUGCCUAAUGUAACCCUAUGUUGUUAAAGCUAGUUGAGGCACUUUCACUGAUAUUAUGAACAACUAACGGAGGCAUAUUUUGUGCUGAUUCUUGUUCCCGAGCUACCCCUGCCUCUUGCUCUACUUUUCCCUACUGACCACAUUGCUGUCUGAUCUCAUCAGAUUUUCUUUUCCUUUUGGAAAGUCAAGAUAGUUUCAUAAAAGGUAGGAGCCUGAAGGCAUGUUAAUUCGUAGGAGAAAUCCAAGGUUUGCUUUAAGAGAACAGUGAUAUAACCAAUGUAAAUAGUCUCAGCAAAAAAUGAAAUGUCUUCUCACGUUCACCUGCUUUCAUUUCCAGCAAAUUUCCUUAACGUGCAAACAUUUGUAUUAAUUUUUAUUUUUUUAAAUUCAACAGCUGACACAAAUUGAACAAGUUUCACAUUCAUCUGAC